ACAAACACAAAAGACACGCUGAGGGGCCGCCGGCUCCCGCCGAGACUGCCGCCCGCACCCGGCCAGCCCCCGCCCCCGGCCCUGCACUCCCAUCCCGCUCCGUGUGCGCACGGCGUCGAACCCCCGAAGCCCGGGUUUGGGGCGCCCGGAGGGAAGUGGGGGGAGGGGAAGGCGGGCGGAGGCGCGGCGGGUGAACGCCCGGCCUGCGGGCGUCUCGGGCCGCGGCGGGGAGGGGAGGGAGGGGCUGCCCCCGCGCGGGCCCCGGCGCGCGCCCCCGAGGAGACCCGGGCGGCAGUGGGGGAGGAGGACGCGGUCGGCCGGGUCGCCGCGCCCCAUUGGAAAACGCUCCCCAGCAGGAAGCUGGCAAAUAGGAAUCCAGCGUCCCGCGCCCGCUGUCGGACCUGGCCGCUGCGGCAGCGGGAGGGGCGGACCGACGGCCUCCUUCCCGCCUGCGCGCUCGGCCAAGUGCGGCCGGGUCCUGCGGGACCGGCCCGAGUCCGCCGUAGACAACUUGAUCCGCUAAGACUCCUGGGCCGGCCGCCUGCGUGCAGGGCAGCCCCUCGCCGGUGUUGGCCUCCGGGAUCAGGGGACGGGGCUCGCUCUCCUCCCGGGCCCGGGCCCCCGACGCAAGAUGGCUGUGUCGCGUCGGCCUCUAAACAAUGUGUGGAGCGCGCAGCUCCUGCACCAGGGCCUGGUGGCUUGUCCUGCCCGCCCGUGGGGGCCGUGUGAUCUGUUUUCGGUAGGAUUGCUUUGGAAAGGAAUUGCCGAAUAUAGAUAGUCAAAUGUCCGCAGCUUCUGCAUAGUUUAGAAGAGGCUGAAAACGGCAGAAAGAAGGCAAACGUGGUUUGGGAAUUAGUACAUAUACCUGUUUUCCAAUUCUCAGUAGCAUAGGAAACGGACUUUUCAUGGCCCAAGUUAUCCUCACGACUUGUCAGUUGAUUGGCUUUGGAACCUCUGAACCGUCCCUAGAUGGUAUUGACGCUUCACAACUGUGUGUAAAGGUUUUCAAUGGAAGGGUCAUGCAAAUAUCCCGUAGGGUAGUGAAGGAGGAAAAUUUCAUAAAUGAAGGGCAGUAAUUAUUUGUAAUCUGAAGAUCUCACAAAGCGGCUUAGUGAUAAACAUUAUCCCGAAACAGAUACAUGGAAAUCAGAUACGAGGGAAGAAAUGGAUUUGUCCAAGGUCACUUAAGUGAGGAAGAGACCUAGGAGAAACAAACAGACAAAAAUCCAGGCCUCCCGUUUCAUUAUUAUUUCAUGAAUGUUAAGUGUCCAUGGUUGCUGUGCAGAACACAUGCAAUCUCUAAUCCUAUCCUAAAAGCACAUAUGCAAUCAGCUUGGACCGAGCUGCCAGCAAAGAAUUUCCUAUAAUUCAAGCCAAGAUGAGUUAUUUUGCUUGUUUUUUGUUUUGUUUUCAGGAAACCGAAAUAUUUAUUGUUGGAUUUAUCCAGGAAGGCUGUUCUGCAUUAGUUAAAUGCAUCAUAUCUUCAAGAAAUGUUAAAUGACAUGGAUGCUUCCAGCCCUGAAGCAUCAGACUCCAGGUUCUUUGGCUUUUGGACUCUUGGAGUUACACCAGUGGUUUCCCAGGAACUCUCCAGCCUUGGGCCACAGACUGAAGUUUGCACUGUCGGCUUCCCUGCUUUUGAGGUUUUGUGACUCAGACUGAGCCAACUGGCUUCCUUGCUCUUCAGGUUGCGGACGGCCUAUCGUGGGACUUUGCCUUGUGAUUGUGUGAGUCAAUUGUCCUUAAUAAACUGCCUUUCAUAUAUA